rnacentral:tRNA from 9 species
GCCCGAGUGGUGAAAUUGGCAAACACGCUAGACUAAGGAUCUAGUGCUUAACGGCUUGCAGGUUCAAGUCCUGUCUCGGGCACCA